CAGCCGCCGCGGGAAUACGUAGGUGGCAAGCGUUGUCCGGUAUUAUUGGGCGUAAAGGGCUCGCAGGCGGUUUCUUAAGUCUGAUGUGAAAGCCCCCGGCUCAACCGGGGAGGGUCAUUGGAAACUGGGAAACUUGAGUGCAGAAGAGGAGAGUGGAAUUCCACGUGUAGCGGUGAAAUGCGUAGAGAUGUGGAGGAACACCAGUGGCGAAGGCGACUCUCUGGUCUGUAACUGACGCUGAGGAGCGAAAGCGUGGGGAGCGAACAGGAUUAGAUACCCCAGUAGUCCCUGUCUCUUAUAC
rnacentral:rRNA from 1 species